rnacentral:rRNA from 1 species
GACAGAGGUGCCGAGCGUUAGGCGGAAUCACUGGGCUUAAAGCGUGUGUAGGCGGCCCGUUAAGUGCCUCGUGAAAUCCCCCGGCUCAACCGGGGAACUGCCGGGCAUACUGGCGGGCUUGGGUCGCUCAGGGGCAGACGGAACAGGCGGUGGAGCGGUGAAAUGCGUAGAUAUCUGGAGGAACACCGGUGGCGAAGGCGGCAUCCUGGACCGACACUGACGCUGAGGAGCGAAAGCCAGGGGAGCAAACGGG